rnacentral:rRNA from 1 species
GACGAACCGAGCGAACGUUGUUCGGAAUAACUGGGCUUAAAGGGCGCGUAGGCGGGCCGCCAAGUUCGAGGUGAAAUCCUCCGGCUCAACCGGAGAACUGCCUCGAAUACUGGAGGUCUCGAGGGUGGUAGGGGCACGCGGAACUGUGGGUGGAGCGGUGAAAUGCGUUGAUAUCCACAGGAACUCCGGUGGCGAAGGCGGCGUGCUGGACCACAUCUGACGCUGAGGCGCGAAAGCCAGGGGAGCAAACGGG